CAGUGCUGUCUUUCUUUGUUACAUAUUUCUUAAUUCUUACAAUAUCUAAAUUGUACAGUUUUUAAUUAAUUUUCAUGCAAAAUGAUGUGUUCAUAGCGGGUUGAAACUUGUAACUAAAAUGAUACCUAUAUUAUGGUGACUACAGUAAGAUAGUAGAGAAAUUCAUACAUAAAAGAAAAAAAAACAUUUAAAGAAUGUUGAAUAUAUAAAAAAUGUAUUUAAUUACACUACGGAAUAAAUAACUUACCUGUU